AUAGUAAGCCGGUUUGUCGCUAUGCCGCAAGGUAGAGAGGAAAGUCCGGGCAACAUAGGGUACCAUGCUUCAUAACGUGAAGCCGUUCGUGAGGGCGGAUUAGUGUAACAGAAAAUAACCGCUGCUAUGCAGUAAGGGUGAAAAGGCGAGGUAAGAGCUCACCGCUUCGGUCGGAAUAUCGAAGAUCGUACACAUCAUGGGUUGCAAAACCAAAUAUACCGGCGUAGUAGGACGACCCGUCUGAUGCCGAGGGGUAGGUUGCUUGAGCUUGAUGGCAACAUCAAGUCCAGAUAAAUGACAGACACCCGCAAGGGUACAGAACCCGGCUUAUAGGCUUACUAUUUUU
rnacentral:RNase_P_RNA from 1 species